GUGAGGAGCUGCGAGUGGCUGGAGAUUGUUGGCGGUCGGCGAGGCAGAGGGAGGCCUAAGAAGCAUUGGGGAGAGGUGAUUAGGCAGGACAUAACUAUCCGAGGACAUGACCCUUGAUAGGAGAGUCUGGAGGUCUAGAAUCGGGGUUGUAGGUUAGGGGCUCCUAGAGUUCUUCGUACGCCUCAUCCGGGGUUGGGUGUGGGUCA
rnacentral:lncRNA from 1 species